CCAGUCUGUAUGGUCACGGAGGAGGGAGGCUGAGAGAGAGUGAUGCUUUAACAUCGUGCGGGCACACCAGUUAUCACGAAGCACUGGAGCUAGAGAGAGAGACUGUUGUGAGAAAGAGAAGCCGAAAUCUAGAAAGAAAGGAAAGAUACUGUAGACACAGAGAGAGAAAGAGAGGUGUUUUUCGUUCUCCCCGGUGUGAUGGUUUCUCAUCAGGCUGAUCACUGCUAUGGAACUGCCAUCAGGGGUCUACAAAGCCACUGAGGACAGAGAGACCACCUUGAACACAAAGUUACUACUGGUGAGAGUCACUUUUGAAGGAGUGGACCACACUAUCAGGUUAGUUAGUUCUUGUUGAAAAGAUACACAUUGUUGUGCUCAAGGUUCUAUUCACUCCAAU
rnacentral:lncRNA from 8 species